UAGGGAAUCUUCGGCAAUGGGGGGAACCCUGACCGAGCAACGCCGCGUGAGUGAUGAAGGUCUUCGGAUCGUAAAACUCUGUUAUUAGGGAAGAACAAAUGUGUAAGUAACUAUGCACAUCUUGACGGUACCUAAUCAGAAAGCCACGGCUAACUACGUGCCAGCAGCCGCGGUAAUACGUAGGUGGCAAGCGUUAUCCGGAAUUAUUGGGCGUAAAGCGCGCGUAGGCGGUUUUUUAAGUCUGAUGUGAAAGCCCACGGCUCAACCGUGGAGGGUCAUUGGAAACUGGAAAACUUGAGUGCAGAAGAGGAAAGUGGAAUUCCAUGUGUAGCGGUGAAAUGCGUAGAUAUAUGGAGGAACACCGGUGGCGAAAGCGGCUCUCUGGUCUGUAACUGACGCUGAGGCUCGAAAGCGUGGGGAGCGAACAGG
rnacentral:rRNA from 1 species